rnacentral:rRNA from 1 species
CAGGAACGCUGGCGGCAGGCUUGACACAUGCAAGUCGAGCGCCCCGCAAGGGGAGCGGCAGACGGGUGAGUAACGCGUGGGAAUCUACCCAUCUCUACGGAAUAACGCAUGGAAACGUGUGCUAAUACCGUAUACGUCCUUCGGGAGAAAGAUUUAUCGGAGAUGGAUGAGCCCGCGUUGGAUUAGCUAGUUGGUGGGGUAAAGGCCUACCAAGGCGACGAUCCAUAGCUGGUCUGAGAGGAUGAUCAGCCACACUGGGACUGAGACACGGCCCAGACUCCUACGGGAGGCAGCAGUGGGGAAUAUUGGACAAUGGGCGCAAGCCUGAUCCAGCCAUGCCGCGUGAGUGAUGAAGGCCCUAGGGUUGUAAAGCUCCUUCACCGGUGAAGAUAAUGACGGUAACCGGAGAAGAAGCCCCGGCUAACUUCGUGCCAGCCGCCGCCGUAACAC